ensembl:snRNA
ACCAUCUUUGUCUUGGGGUGAGCGGCCGCCCAAUGAGCGCAUAGCGAGAGCGGCACUGCUGACACAAGUAACAACACAAUAGUGCCCCCGGUGUGCAAACACUGGCACGGUACAAUUUUUGGAACC